rnacentral:rRNA from 1 species
GAUGAACGCUGGCGGCGUGCCUAAUACAUGCAAGUCGAGCGAACGGACGAGAAGCUUGCUUCUCUGAUGUUAGCGGCGGACGGGUGAGUAACACGUGGAUAACCUACCUAUAAGACUGGGAUAACUUCGGGAAACCGGAGCUAAUACCGGAGAAUAUUUUGAACCGCAUGGUUGAAAAGUGAAAGACGGUCUUGCUGUCACUUAUAGAUGGAUCCGCGCUGCAUUAGCUAGUUGGUAAGGUAACGGCUUAUCAAGGCAACGAUGCAUAGCCGACCUGAGAGGGUGAUAGGCCACACUGGAACUGAGACACGGUCAAGACUCCUACGGGAGGCAGCAGUAGGGAAUCUUCCGCAAUGGGCGAAAGCCUGACGGAGCAACGCCGCGUGAGUGAUGAAGGUCUUCGGAUAGUAAAACUCUGUUAUUAGUGAAGAACAUAUGUGUAAGUAACUGUGCACAUCUUGACGGUACCUAAUAAGAAAGCCACGGCUAACUACGUG